UCGGCGCGACUCUCGCCUCUCGUCCCGCCUCCCAUCCCGCUCCGCAGCACCCUUCCCAUCCCGCUCCGCAACGCCGCCGCCGCGCCGGUCCGCGCCGUCCCGCUCCGCGUCGCGCUCCGGCUCACCCAUGCCGUCGCCACCGCCGGAUCACCCACGCCGCCGCACCGGCCCGGUCCGCAUCGCCGCCGGCGGCCCAGUCCGCCCUGCCGCCCUCUCCGAUCUGCUCCACCAGUUCAAGCAAAGGCCACAUGACCGGCGGCGAUUUCCUCCACUAUCACCUCCCAGUCUGCCCCUUGCCUCCUGCCGAUUUGCUCAACCUCCCCCAUCUACUGAAGGUCGUUGGCCGCCGGUGUCGCGUCUCCCGUCCUCUGCAACCAAGGUGUGCUCUUCCUCCGUCUCUCUCCCCACUCGCAAGCCCGGCACCUCCGUGCUUCCCGGCACACGCGCCGCCUCCCACGCCAGCUCGCCGUCCGCCUGCCCCGCCUUUCGCCGUCCGCGCUCAUCUUUGAAUGGAGGAUGCGGAUGAGAUCUCGGAUGCGGACAGGGAAGCGGUGGCCUCAUCCCUGGGCGCUGCGAACAGGGCAGCGAUGGCCUCAUCUCUGGGCGGAGGUCCAAUCCCUCGAUCGAAGUAGCUGGUUUUCUCCAAUCUGCGCCUAUCCCACCUCCGCGCCCUCUCAAUCAUGGCCGCUUGCCCUGCCCAGUCUGUGCCCAUCUUACUCUCUCUCGGAUCCAUGACAUGAUGUUCGACUUUAAAUCGUGUGCGAGUGUACUCUGCCUGCACUUGGAGAUCGGUCGAUAGCAAGUCUGGAAAGUGGAUGCCAAUUGUUUGAAUAUGCUUAUCAUGGUUAGUUGCAUCCAAUUUGCUAUUCUAUUUUUACUCUCAGGGACUGCAGCGUUGCAUACCUGAAUAAGUUAAUUGGCUAAUUGAUUUACGUGGUAUGCCUGCUUCAGCUGUGCCUGCAACUUUCCUGCCUAAUAGCAACAGGAACAUCUAAUUCAGUUUUGAUUUUGGCCAGUCUGCUCUCUUAUGGACUUAAUGAAUGUUUUCCCUUUUUUCUACUAAUUCCAUGCAGGUUAUGCGAUUGAUCCAGUAGCAUCUUGAGGGUGUUAGUGAAAGAGUGAAUCUGAUGCUACUAUGAAAAAGCUUGAAGAAACAUUCUUACUUGGGAAAUCCAAAAUGUUAUAACCGAAUCUAGCCAAGUGAUCUAUUAAAGCUGAUCAAACCAUCUGCAGUUGAAAUAUAAAAUUUCACAUUUACACAAUUAUGGGGAGUUUGGAUUAUUCGCUUUGAAUUUUAGAAUCAUUGUUUUGCUGGUGUGAGCUGACGUGCCUAUGUUUGGUGCUCAUCCAAAUACACAGGGGCAUAGUGAAAGCUUUUUAUUUCUGGCAAUCUCUAGUAUCAAUUGUGUCGGUGUACCCAGACCGGGAUACCCACUCCUACUGCAGCAAUGCAGGACUCGCGUAGUCAUCCGUAACUACACCCUAAGGGGCGGAGCAGCCGGGCCCCACGGGUCAGGCUCUUACCUCACCGGGCCAACAGCCCCGGACCCGCUCCCCGCUCUGGGACGGGUCCGGUGACGCCACGUGUCCCUGAGGAGGGGAAGCUCCGCACCAACAGCCGAGGGCUCGGACCCCCCAUAGGGGUCCGGGACCUCCCCGCGUCCGUCCGGACCUCCCAUGCGCGUAGAACCAAUAUACCGCUGGAGCGGGGUCCGGGGGCGCCACGUGUCCCGCAGGCGCGGGCGCGAGUCUUCCGGUGGAAGACUCGCCCACCCACCGCAUUCAAUGCAGGUGGUUGAGGUCUGCUCUGCCGCCGCGGCACGCGGGGCAGCCUUUGUCAGGUCUCACUGUAGACCGCAUAUUACCGAGAUACACAGUGCAGCCGCAUGCGCCGCAUCCACGCAGAGCCCGUCUGCCGCAUUAAAUAGAUACGAAGGCACGGCACCUUUUCAUCAUACCGCCUACGCCGCAAGCUACACGGCCCGUUCAGCUACGCGGCAGGCAACGCCGCAAGCUACGCCCUAGCGCCGUUUCGACAAGACAGGGCAUGGCUAUGCCGGACGGAAGAUUUCCACGGGCAAAGCAAGGAAAUCCAGGAAUGAGAUCUCCGUCGCCUGCAACGCCAUAAUGUCUGUACAAGUAUGUUAUUUUAUACUACAUCGUUGGGCCCACCUGUCGGGGACUCAACGACCAUGUGCGCGCCUCCCUUGAGAUAUAAAAGGGAGGCGCUCGCUGCACACUCGGGGGGCUCUGGGAUCUCUCUAGACUGAGCUGAGGCGAGAGGAAGGCAGACACAACACAAGCUCGGAUUCACUCCGAACAAUCCCGUUCUCAACCUCUUGAGAGCACAAGCAAUACAACACACAGUGGACGUAGGGUAUUACGCUCCGGCGGCCCGAACCACUCUAAACCUGCUGUGUUCAUCGUGUUCUUCCAUUGAGAUUGGACUAAUCCUAGCUAACCCCCGAGUACUCACCCUCUGGGUUUAGGCGGGUGCACUACGCCACCGGGCUGUGGGUUUGCACACCACGACAUUUGGCGCGCCAGGUAGGGGAGCUUUAGCUAGUUUUAGUUCAUCUCUUACUCAUCUCCAUGGUUCGGGUGGUUGAGCACUCCCACCACGACGACGACGUGGAGAUGACGGAGGGUGUGGCGUCAUCCGCGUCACGCGUCUCUCGCCUUCCUGUGCCAGGGGCAACCGUGCCCGUGGAGCAGCCACCGUCGGCAGCGGCACGCGCUACACGUCGGCGAGAGUCAGGGCGCCCGUCAAGCAACUCCCUAGCUGCCGCCAGCGCUCCGCCGCUCGCAGCUUGUGAGGGGGCCCUUCCUCUAGCGCCACGACAAAUUGGAACACUCCCUUAGGUUGUAUUGAAUCGUGAUCUUUGUGAGUUGUGACAAGUCCACUUAUGCAAAUAGUUAGAUUGUAACAGAUCUUUGAACUGCUGGCAGAAAAUUGAGGUUACUAGAUGCUGUGCCAGGUUAUAAUAGGUACAGUUUUUUGCCAAUAGUCUGUUGUUUUCGAUGUGACCUGCAUUAGCUAAUUUACUUUUAUGCUACCAUUGUUACAUUUCAGACUGCAGUUAAGUAUAUGUUAGUAAACUGAGCUGUUUUAUUGCUUAAUCAUUACAUAAUUUUCCAGUUUUUUUCCCAUGGCUAUUUAGUUGACCUCAUUUCUGAAAUUGGGUACUUAAUAAGGAGGAGUUUGAGUGAGAAUUGAGGGCCAACACUACCCAGCAAGCAGUCCUCACCUAGAGGCUCCAAUGUUGAAGCUAAGAGGGAUAUGUGGGGAACCUUCCCGGGGGUGUCAGCAAGUUAACUCUUGCUAACAUGUUCAACGAGCAAUGGGAGAUUUUGGAAGCGAGGUUCAUCUAUGACAAGGAGAGUUGGAUGUCAAAGGGGUUUGGUUUUGUCACAUAUGCCUCUGAUGAAGGAUUUGAGGAUGCGUCAUCGAAUCUUGAUAGCGCUGUUUUUUUGUGAGGUGUGAAGCUCCUGCUGGUUAGAGUUCUACACAUGGCAUUUGUUUGGUAAAGUGUUACUGUCUUCAGGAAACAACUGAAUGGUUUGCAUACUAUGCCAUGGGCAGAAUGUCACAUGUUGUGUCGGUGAGUGUACUUUGACGCCUAACUCCAGUGUCCAAUUCCUUUCACUUUUCCUUGCAACUGUAAACUUUGCCUAAUCGCUGAUAUGGUCCAUUUGGUCCCCCACCUAUGAUUUUCUAGGACAAAAGGAAGGAACAAUAUGAAGUUCUUUAUCUGAAAGUUUCUUGUUUUGAUGUUUUGCAAAUCAUCUAUGAAAAAAAAAACAUUGCUAAAAUGCCCAUUUCUCUACUUAUCAUGGUUUAAUCUGUGUGCAAUUUGUUGGUUCCAUGUUGAAAUGGAGAUAUGCUUGUAUAAGAAAUUGGCCACUGAAUUUAACUUAUUCAUAUUAUACCGUGAAACACUAGAGCUUUUGACAGAAUAAGAAAUGAGGCAGAAGGACUAUAAGAGAGUAGGAGAUUGCCACAACCACUGAGCUCAAGAGGUCGUCGACUUAUUCUGUUUUACCAUGGUCUCCACUGGCCUUGGAAAGCAGAGGACCAUUGAUGAUGGCAGUAGUGACUUUUUGUGAUGGUUGGCAAUCGAUACUUUCAGUCAAGGUUUUUUGGGGGGAGUAAAAAAAUUGUAGUUGUUCUGUUUCAUGUCAUUGUGAUGAGAGAUUGUAGUAGCUGGCUUCAGUGAGUAUGAUAAUUGGGUCUUCUUACUGGUUCCAAGAAAACUACGCUCUUGUUCUGUUGCGCUUCCGAGAUUUAUUAAAAGCUGCAAACAAUAGGUAAAACCUGAUCCAUCUUUGACCUUGCUGAUGUAUGUCACCAAUCUUACACUUCAGUGGUUCUGAAGUGAAGCAUUUGGUUUUUUUUAUGGCUUUCGCAGUUAAUUUUUGAAUAUCAUAUGAUAGUUAUUUUUCUUUUAACAUGUAAUCUGAAAUUAACAGGAGACAUGCUAGAAUGGCAUAAUCUUCACUUGGUGUUUAGAGAACCUUGUAAUCUCAUCUUCAGGUAUAUUUUGUACAGAAAAAUUUUGGGUUUACCUUCUUAAUUUGAUCUAAUGGAUUAUCAGGCUGCCAAGGCAUUCCGUCCCUUCUCCACUUAAUAGGCCAUGGUGAGUCAUCUAGCAUUGCUCCUUUUAAAUGAUGAAUCAUGCUGAAACAUCAGGCAGUUGGAGACUAACCUAACACUGAAAAUUUUUAUUGUUUGAGUUCACCAUUUGUCACAUUGCUAACACUUUCAGACUGCUAGACCACACUAUGUAAGUUUGGAGUAGUCGAGGUUCUUGUGGUAUUCUCCAAACUAGCGAUGUUGUUUCAGUUUCUUUUUCCAUAAUUUCUGAAUUUGCAAAGUUCUCAAGUGAAUUUACUUAUUAAGAAACCAGUGCUUCCAUAUAAUAUAUAAUUCAAUCUGUGUUUGAAUUUUUAUAAUGUUUGUUCAUAUAAUAUAAUCUUAACAUGUGGACAUUUAUACGUACAUGAUAAAAUGAAAAUUUUAUUAUCUAUAUUUUAGACUAGGUUUUCUGAUACUCUAUUUGGCAAUGAAGUCUUCAUCUACCUUAUUGUAGUGAACAAGGAUUACACGACAUGCCCGUUUUGAUUUAUGCCUUUCCGAUGCUGCAUCGGGAGAACAUAUAUACUUGAAGAUUGAUGCUUAUGGAGCUAAUUUGUAUGCCUCAGUUGCUAUGUUUCAGAUUAUGAAAAUUGAUGCUUAUGGAGGGAAUUUGGGAUCACCAUUAGCAACGAACUGGCACAGGAAUACAGGAUGGCCGAGCAUCGAGGCAGAAGUUUGUGAUCCAUGUUUUGGCAUUUGCUGGAAAUGCAUAUCGAAAAAAUAUUCCUUACAGUGUUUAGAAAUAUCAUAGCAGCAUCACAUGGAAAAAUAUUUGAAAGCGGGUUAUGUGGCAUUGGAUAUCCUGAUGUAGUUGAAUCUACCAAAUUUGAAAAUUAUAAUAUAUUAUGUAUAUGAUUGUGUGUGGAUAUUA